AGCUUUGCACAGUGGCAGCAUCAUAGCCAAUGAGGUUUAUCCGAGGCACAAUUAUUGCUAAUUAAAAGGAGUACACACCAUAACCAAGUGGAAUUGAUUUCUAAAUUCAAGAUGGUUCAACUGAUGUAAAUCA
rnacentral:snRNA from 1 species